UAAAAUGGCUUCUGUCAUGAGUGGCACACAUAGGGCAACUUGAUUGUGCUGCAUGUGGAAUCAACAUCAAGAUUUUUUGAAGCAUAAUUUUUUGGUACUUGGGCAGCUGGUGAUCAUAUUCCACACCCCG